AUUGAACGCUGGCGGCAGGCCUAACACAUGCAAGUCGAACGCGUGGCGGACGGGUGAGUAAUGUCUGGGAAACUGCCUGAUGGAGGGGGAUAACUACUGGAAACGGUAGCUAAUAACGCAUACCAUCAGAUGUGCCCAGAUGGGUUUAGCUUGUUGGUGGGGUAACGGCUCACACAGGCGACGAUCCCUAGCUGGUCUGAGAGGAUGACCAGCCACCCUGGAACUGAUACACGGUCCAGACUCCUACGGUAGGCAUCAGUGGGGAAUAUUGCACAAUGGGCGCAAGCCUGAUGCAGCCAUGCCGCGUGUAUGAAGAAGGCCUUCGGGUUGUAAAGUACUUUCAGCGGGGAGGCGUUACCCGCAGAAUAAGCACCGGCGAACACCGUGCCAGCCGCCGCGGUCUUUC
rnacentral:rRNA from 1 species